rnacentral:rRNA from 1 species
UCGGGUUGUAAAGCACUUUUAUCGGGAGCGAAAUACCAUUGGCUAAUAAACGAUGGGGCUGACGGUACCCGAGGAAUAAGCACCGGCUAACUUCGUGCCAGCAGCCGCGGUAAUACGAAGGGUGCAAGCGUUAAUCGGAAUUACUGGGCGUAAAGGGUGCGUAGGCGGUUAGUUAAGUCUGUUGUGAAAUCCCCGGGCUCAACCUGGGAAUGGCAAUGGAUACUGGCUAGCUAGAGUGUGUCAGAGGAUGGUGGAAUUUCCGGUGUAGCGGUGAAAUGCGUAGAGAUCGGAAGGAACAUCAGUGGCGAAGGCGGCCAUCUGGGACAACACUGACGCUGAAGCACGAAAGCGUGGGGAGCAAACAGGAUUAGAU